rnacentral:rRNA from 1 species
UACAGAGGGUGCGAGCGUUGUCCGGAAUCACUGGGCGUAAAGGGCGCGUAGGUGGCGCGACAAGUCAGUGGUGAAAGUUCGACGCUCAACGUCGAAUCGGCCACUGAUACUGUUGGGCUUGAGCACUGUAGAGGCUAAUGGAAUUCCGGGUGUAGCGGUGGAAUGCGUAGAGAUCCGGAAGAACACCGGUGGCGAAGGCGGCCUGCUGGGCUAUGGGCUGACACUGAGGCGCGACAGCGUGGGGAGCAAACAGG